rnacentral:rRNA from 1 species
UGAAGCUAGGAGAAUGGCUUGGGAAAGCCAGUCACAGAGGGUGAAAGCCCCGUAUCCGAAAGCAGAGAGAAGCCUACCGGCAUCCCGAGUACCUUGGGAAACGUGGGGUCCUGAGGGAAUCAGUGAGGACCACCUCAUAAGGCUAAAUACGAACCAUCGACCGAUAGUGCACAAGUACCGUGAGGGAAAGGUGAAAAGAACCCCUGUUAGGGGAGUGAAAUAGAAUCUGAAACUAUGCGCCUACAAGCGGUCGGAGCCGAUCGCUCACUUAUGUUCGCUUUAAACGAAAGCAAACUCCGCUUUCGUUUAGUUAGGAUUGGAUGUGCGGUGGCACCAAGGUGUCCCCCGCACAACAGCCCCCACCUUUGUGGGCUGCUUCGCAAAAAGCGUGGUUUUUGCUGCGCAGAUCCUGAAUUAAUAUAAGCGAAUGAGUGAGUAAUGAGAUUAAUUCCCAGUUGAACGAAGCCGGGCGUGUACCGGCGUAGUGAAUCCCUUUGGAUGAUUGUGCCGCAGCGAGCGGCGAGCAAGGCAUCCGCUGAGGAAGGGGAAGGUGGAAGGGGAAAAGUAGUUGCCCCUUCCAGAAAAGCGAGCGUAAGCGAGCGAUCGGUGACGGCGUGCCUUUUGCAUAAUGAGCCUGCGAGUUACGGUAUCCAGCGAGGUUAAGCCGAUAGGCGUAGCCGAAGCGAAAGCGAGUCUGAAUAGGGCGAAUUAGUUGGAUGUCGUAGACCCGAAACCAGUCGAUCUAUCCAUGGGCAGGUUGAAGCGGCGGUAAGACGCCGUGGAGGACCGAACCGUUUGAGGUUGAAAACUCUUCGGAUGACCUGUGGAUAGGGGUGAAAGGCUAAUCAAGGCUGGUGAUAGCUGGUACUCCCCGAAAUGUAUUUAGGUACAGCCUCGGGAGUUAAACAUUGGGGGUAGAGCACUAUUAGGGCUAGGGGCCGUACAGGUUACUGAACUCUGAUAAACUCCGAAUACCAAUGUGAAUUUCCCGGGAGUGAGACUGCGGGUGAGAAGAUCCGUAGUCGAGAGGGUAAGAGCCCAGACCGUCAGCUAAGGUCCCAGAAUUCAUGCUAAGUGGUGAAGGAUGUGAAGAUGGAGAAACAGCCAGGAGGUUGGCUUAGAAGCAGCCAUCCUUUAAAGAUAGCGUAACAGCUCACUGGUCUAGCGUCUUUGCGCCGAAGAUAUAACGGGGCUAAGCAUGAUACCGAAGCUACGGAUUUGCGUUUUUUAGAACGUAAGUGGUAGGGGAGCAUUCCACUCAGCGACGAAGGAGUACUGUAAGGUAUGCUGGAGCGUGUGGAAGGGAGAAUGCAGGCAUGAGUAGCGAUAAUACGGGUGAAAAACCCGUACGCCGAAAGUCUAAGGUUUCCACCGGCAGGGUAAUCCGCGGUGGGUUAGUCGGCCCCUAAGACGAGCCCGAAAGGGGUAGUUGAUGGGAAACAGGUCAAUAGUCCGUACCAACGUAUGAUCGUUAAAACGAUGGGGUGACGGAGAAGGUUAGGCGAGCCGGUUAUUGGAUUCCGGUUUAAUGAUGUAGGGAGUGACUUAGGCAAAUCCGGGUCACAUUAAUCCUGAGGUCAGUAUACGAGGGGUGUAAGAACCCCGGAGUCGUUGAUACCCCGCUUCCAAGAAAAACCUCUAAGGAGAGCAUGCGUUGACCGUACCGCAAACCGACACAGGUAGACGGGAUGAGAAUUCUAAGGCGUUUGAGAUAACUCCGGUUAAGGAACUCGGCAAAUUGUCACCGUAACUUCGGGAGAAGGUGAGCCUAUUGUAAGUGAAGGGUGUACACCCGGAGCUGAAGUGGGUCGCAGAUGAGAGGCCCAGGCGACUGUUUAUCAAAAACAUAGCACUCUGCAAACUCGUAAGAGGAAGUAUAGGGUGUGACGCCUGCCCGGUGCUGGAAGGUUAAUAGGAGAUGUGCAAGCAUUGAAUUGAAGCCCCAGUAAACGGCGGCCGUAACUAUAACGGUCCUAAGGUAGCGAAAUUCCUUGUCAGGUAAGUUCUGACCUGCACGAAUGGCGUAACGAUCUG